rnacentral:rRNA from 1 species
CCUACGGGAGGCAGCAGUAAGGAAUAUUGGUCAAUGGACGAAAGUCUGAACCAGCCAUGCCGCGUGAAGGAUUAAGGCCCUCUGGGUUGUAAACUUCUUUUAUCUGGGACGAAAAAAGGGUAUUCUUACUCACUUGACGGUACCAGAGGAAUAAGCACCGGCUAACUCCGUGCCAGCAGCCGCGGUAAUACGGAGGGUGCAAGCGUUAUCCGGAUUUACUGGGUUUAAAGGGUGCGUAGGUGGGCUUGUAAGUCAGUGGUGAAAUCUCCGGGCUUAACCCGGAAACUGCCAUUGAUACUAUAGGUCUUGAAUUAUCUGGAGGUAAGCGGAAUAUGUCAUGUAGCGGUGAAAUGCUUAGAUAUGACAUAGAACACCAAUUGCGAAGGCAGCUUACUACGGAUAUAUUGACACUGAGGCACGAAAGCGUGGGGAUCAAACAGGAUUAGAUACCCUGGUAGUCCACGCCCUAAACGAUGGAUACUCGACAUCAGCGAUACACUGUUGGUGUCUGAGNGAAGANAUAUAUCCACCNGAGUAGANCGCAGAUAGAACACAAUAGAGUAGACGCGUGAGAGAGCGAGACGACGACGAGGGAGGAGG